AAACCUUCAAGCUCUGCUUGGUGUUGGGUGUUUGUUCCGCCUUAGCGCGUGGACUCGCCUUAAAUUCAUUGGCAGCCGGUAUAUUGGCUUCAUGCGCAGCACAUUGCGUCAUGAUGUUAGCGUACCCCCCUUCCAUUAAGCUUUUUUCUUA
rnacentral:misc_RNA from 1 species